rnacentral:misc_RNA from 1 species
GACGAGAGGCCCGAGCGUUAAUCGGAAUCAUUGGGUUUAAAGGGUCCGUAGGCGGGUCAAUAAGUCAGUGGUGAAAGUCUGCAGCUCAACUGUAGAAUUGCCAUUGAUACUGUUAACCUUGAGUAAUUAUGGAGUGGUUAGAAUAUGUAGUGUAGCGGUGAAAUGCAUAGAUAUUACAUAGAAUACCGAUUGCGAAGGCAGAUCACUAAUAAUUUACUGACGCUGAGGGACGAAAGCGUAGGUAGCGAACAGG